CCUACGGUCGGCUGCAGUGAGGAAUAUUGGUCAAUGGGCGCGAGCCUGAACCAGCCAAGUCGCGUGAGGGAAGACGGCCCUACGGGUUGUAAACCUCUUUUGACGGGGCGCAACGGGCGCCACGUGUGGCGCCACUGAGAGUACCCGGAGAAAAAGCAUCGGCUAACUCCGUGCCAGCAGCCGCGGUAAUACGGAGGAUGCGCGCGUUAUCCGUAUUUAUUGGGUUAAAAGGGUGCGUAGGCGGAGCGUUACGUCAGGGGUCAGAUUGAGGGGAUCAACCCCUCCCCGCCAUUGAAACUGGCUCUCUUGAGUGGAAGAGAAGUAUGCGGAAUGCGUGGUGUAGCGGUGAAAUGCAUAGAUAUCACGCAGAACCCCGAUUGCGAAGGCAGCAUGCCGGCUUCCGACUGACGCUGAAGCACGAAAGCGUGGGGAUCGAACAGGAUUAGAUACCCUAGUAGUC
rnacentral:rRNA from 1 species